rnacentral:rRNA from 1 species
CCCGGCACAAGCGGUGGAGUAUGUGGUUUAAUUCGACGCAACGCGAAGAACCUUACCAGCUCUUGACAUGUCCAUUAUGGGUCUGAGAGAUCAGAUCCUUCGGUUCGGCCGGGUGGAACACAGGUGCUGCAUGGCUGUCGUCAGCUCGUGUCGUGAGAUGUUGGGUUAAGUCCCGCAACGAGCGCAACCCUCACCUUUAGUUGCUACCAGGUUAUGCUGGGCACUCUAGAGGAACCGCCGGUGAUAAGCCGGAGGAAGCGGGAUGACGUCAAGUCCUCAUGGCCCUUACGGGCUGGGCUACACACGUACUACAAUGGUGGUGACAGUGGGAUGCGAAAGCGCGAGCUGGAGCGAAUCCCCAAAAGCCAUCUCAGUUCGGAUUGCACUCUGCAACUCGAGUGCAUGAAGUUGGAAUCGCUAGUAAUCGUGGAUCAGAAUGCCACGGUCGAAUACGUUCCCGGGCCUU